UACGUAGGGUGCGAGCAUUGUCCGGAAUUACUGGGCGUAAAGCGUGCGCAGGCGGUUCGGAAAGAGAGGUGUGAAAUCCCAGGGCUUAACCUUGGAACUGCACUUCUAACUACCGGGCUAGAGUACGUCAGAGGGGGGUAGAAUUCCACGUGUAGCAGUGAAAUGCGUAGAGAUGUGGAGGAAUACCGAUGGCGAAGGCAGCCCCCUGGGAUGAUACUGACGCUCAUGCACGAAAGCGUGGGGAGCAAACAGG
rnacentral:rRNA from 1 species